CACUAUUAUUGGGUCUAAAGGGUCCGUAGCCGGUUUAAUCAGUCUUCUGGGAAAUCUAAUCGCUUAACUAUUAGGCUUCCAGGGGAUACUGUUGGACUUGGGACCGGGAGAGGUAAGAGGUACUGCAGGGGUAGGAGUGAAAUCUUGUAAUCCCUGUGAGACCACCAGUGGCGAAGGCGUCUUACCAGAACGGGUCCGACGGUGAGGGACGAAAGCUGGGGGCACGAACCGGAUUAGAUACCCGGGUAGUCCCAGCUGUAAACGAUGCUCGUUAGGUGUCAGGAACGGUGCGACUGUUUCUGGUGCCGAAGGGAAGCCGUGAAACGAGCCACCUGGGAAGUACGGCCGCAAGGCUGAAACUUAAAGGAAUUGGCGGGGGAGCACUACAACGGGUGGAGCCUGUGGUUUAAUCGGACUCAACGCCGGAAAACUCACCGGGGGCGACAGCAAUAUGUAGGUCAGGUUAAAGGUCUUACCUGAAUCGCUGAGAGGAGGUGCAUGGCCGUCGUCAGUUCGUACUGUGAAGCAUCCUGUUAAGUCAGGCAACGAGCAAGACCCGUGCCCACUGUUACCAGCAUAUCCUUUAUGGAUGAUGGGGACUCUGUGGGGACCGCUGCUGCUAAAGCAGAGGAAGGUGCGGGCUACGGUAGGUCAGUAUGCCCCGAAUCUCCCGGGCUACACGCGGGCUACAAUGGUUGGGACAAUGGGUAUCUACUCCGAAAGGAGUUGGCAAUCUCUUAAACCCAAUCGUAGUUCGAAUUGAGGGCUGUAACUCGCCCUCCAUGAAGCUGGAAUCCGUAGUAAUCGCGUUUCAACAUAGCGCGGUG
rnacentral:rRNA from 1 species